UUGCUUUUUUCUUACAUUAUAAAUUGUUCAAAUAGCGGAGAAGCAAGCUUGGAUGUCAGUUAGCUUCAUUUUUUAAGUAUCCAACGUCACACAUUGUUUAGAGGUACACAUGAUGAGCUCAUAAAGUUAUGUAUUGUUGAAGUCGCAACUAAAGAGCAAGAAGCUCAUUUAAUUAGAAUUUCCUCAACUCAGAUAGGCCAAGGUUUUCUUAAGAAUGGUAAAGCCCAAAAAUUUGCUUUAUAGUAUUGGCUAGAAGUAUGCAUGCUAUCUGUCUUGAUUUUCUCUUUG